rfam:Schistosoma mansoni, Puerto Rico, WGS project CABG01000000 data, contig: 0247
AUCCGUCUGAUGAGUGACAAACAAGACGAAGCGCGCGUCUUGGAU